GGCUCAACUUCGGAACUGCACGUGAAACUACAAGUCUUGAGGAUUGGCGGAGAAAACGGAAUUCCACAAGUAGCGGUGAAAUGCGUAGAUAUGUGGAAGAACACCGGUGGCGAAGGCGGUUUUCUAGCUUAUUCCUGACACUGAGGCGCGAAAGCAAGGGGAUCAAACAGGAUUAGAUACCCUGGUAGUCCUUGCUGUAAACGAUGUAUACUUGAUGUAAUUGGGCUCAACCCUAAUUGUGUCGUAGCUAACGCGAUAAGUAUACCGCCUGAGGAGUACGCUCGCAAGGGUGAAACUCAAAAGAAUUGACGGGGGCCCGCACAAGCAGUGGAGCAUGUGGUUUAAUUCGAUGCAACGCGAAGAACCCUUACNCCA
rnacentral:rRNA from 1 species